rnacentral:rRNA from 1 species
AGUCGAGCGAUGAACACCUUCGGGUGUGAAUUAGCGGCGAACGGGUGAGGAACACGUGAAGAAUCUGCCUUCAACUCUGGGAUAACUCCGGGAAACCGGGGCUAAUACCGGAUAUGAGCCUUGAUCGCAUGAUCGGGGCUGGAAAGUUUUUCGGUUGAAGAUGACUUCGCGGCCUAUCAGCUUGUUGGUGAGGUAAUGGCUCACCAAGGCGACGACGGGUAGCCGGCCUGAGAGGGCGACCGGCCACACUGGGACUGAGACACGGCCCAGACUCCUACGGGAGGCAGCAGUGGGGAAUAUUGGGCAAUGGAGGAAACUCUGACCCAGCGACGCCGCGUGAGGGAUGAAGGCCUUCGGGUUGUAAACCUCUUUCAGUAGGGAAGAAGCGAAAGUGACGGUACCUACAGAAGAAGCACCGGCUAACUAUGUGCCAGCAGCCGCGGUAAUACAUAGGGUGCAAGCGUUGUCCGGAAUUAUUGGGCGUAAAGAGCUCGUAGGUGGUUCGAUACGUCGGAUGUGAAAAUCAGGGGCUCAACCCCUGACCUGCAUCCGAUACGGUCGAGCUAGAGUUUGGUAGGGGAGACUGGAAUUCCUGGUGUAGCGGUGGAAUGCGCAAAUAUCAGGAGGAACACCGACGGCGAAGGCAGGUCUCUGGGCCAAUACUGACACUGAGGAGCGAAAGCGUGGGGAGCGAACAGGAUUAGAUACCCUGGUAGUCCACGCCCGUAACGGUGGGCGCUAGUUGUGCGAACCUUCCACGGUUUGUGCGACGCAGCUAACGCAUUAAGCGCCCCGCCUGGGGAGUACGAUCGCAAGAUUAAAACUCAAAGGAAUUGACGGGGCCCCGC